rnacentral:rRNA from 1 species
UAAUGUAAUUAUUACAACGUUAAUUCACAAGAUCCCAUAAGAACUCUGUAGUAAAGAUUGUCUGGGCUAGAGUAGUACUGGGAUGGGUGACCUCCUGUGAAGUCCUAAUGUCUUACAUGCC